UUCUUAUUGGAUCGGCAUCGGCCCAAAACCUCGCGAAUUGAUCUUUACGGUGCUUCCUCUAUCAAUUAGAUCCUUUAUCCAUAGAAUAAACUAUCUAGGCAUAUCGAUUUCUUCAUAUUUCGACUUCUAUGAAGUUUCUUUCUUUGCUACAGCUGAUAAAAAUCGUUUUUGCACGAUGCAUAUGUAGAAAGCCUAUUUUUUUUUUUUCGAGUAUUUAUUAGUGUAUUUGCUCUUUACCCCCCUCCUUUUUUUUUUUCUUUUACUUUUUUCUUUCUAUAGUAGAGAUAGUCGCACGUAAUGACAGAUCACAGCCAUAUUAUUAAAAGCUUGUGGUAAGAACGGAUUUCGUUCUAGUGCCCGAAAAUAAUAUUCUAAAGCUUUUGUAUGUUCUCCGUUACUUGUGUGGAUAAGGCCUAUGUUAUAGAGUAUAUAGCUUCGAUCGUAAGGAUCAAUUUCUAGUCGCAUAGCUUCAUAAUAAUUCUGUAAAGCUUCCGCAUAAUUGCCUUCAGAUUGAGCUGACAUCCGUUACGGUCGUCAUUCGAUUCAAAGAAUUCUCCGUUUCAAAACCGUACAUGAGAUGAAAAUCUCAUACGGCUCCUCCUUUAUGUGCAUUAUGAGAAUAAUCCAUGAAAUCAAAAAAGAUUGAAAUAUUCUCAUUAUGAACUAAGUGGGGCUAAUGUUUUUACAAGAAAUCUCUAGCCAACCUUCCUGCAAAAGCUUUUUUCUUAAUAUCACGCGUGUUGGUACUAGAUAAAACCGGAAACUCCAACAAUUUCUUUGUUCUCAACGCCCCUUAAUUUACAGGAAUUAAUCACUUCAACAGUCUUCGAUGGUUAUACGGGUAUCCACAGUACGAACGAGAUGGAUGUUUGUUAUCCCAACCAUUCUUCUUAGUCCCGAUCCCGCUAAGGAAAGGGGGCAGCUUAUAACAAAGUUUUCGUGUUGCUGAUUCCUAGACGUAGCGCCUCUUCCCCUAUGCCGCCUAUUGGUACUGGUGUAGUAGGGUUGACUUGCAAUACAGAACCCAUAGGUGUAACCUUUCGCUCAAUACUAGAAUCGACAAUUGAAGCAUCUGAGGCUGCAUUAAUCGGGGAUACACGACAGAAGGAAUGGUUUUAUCUAUAAACUUCACCUUCAACAAGCGUAGAUUUUUUCAAUAAUCUUUUUUUUUUUUUUUUCUAUCCCGAAUUGUCUUUCUUUCUUCUAAGACCGAAAGGGGUAAAUAAAAAACUAAUCAAAUCGCACCAUCUCUGUAAUAGGUAAAUGCCUCUUUUUCUCCUACAGUUGUCGGAAUUAUUCGUAAUAAUAUAUUGGCUACAAUCGAAAAGGUCUUAUCAAUAAAAUUUCCGUUUAUCCGCGAUCUAGGCAUAGGUAAAAAUCCAUUCUAUAAUUCGUUUCAUUACCUCUUGUGAGAAAAUGAUCCCACAAACAAAGGAAUUGUACAGUACAAAAUAACAUAAAAGCAGACGUGUUAAAAAAAAUAAAAAAAAAAUAGACCGAUCCGUUGAUUCGUUCCAACUCAUUGAUUAAAUCAGGUAGAAAUAUCAGAAAAAAAAAAAAAAAGGAGCGCCAUCUUUGCAAACAAGAUAUAUAGCCUUAUUGUUUUUUGUUUUG
rnacentral:lncRNA from 1 species